GCCUGCCCAGUGACCCUGUUUAACGGCCGCGGUAUCCUAACCGUGCGAAGGUAGCGUAAUCACUUGUUCUCUAAAUGCGGACUAGUAUGAACGGCAUCACGAGGGUUAUACUGUCUCCUCUUUCUAAUCAGUGAAACUAAUCUCCCCGUGAAGAAGCGGGGAUAAAACUAUAAGACGAGAAGACCCUAUGGAGCUUUAAACAAUAUAGCACUUGCCUUUAGCAUAAAUUUCCAAAUUACUCCAAAGCAAUAUGACUAUAAGUUUUUGGUUGGGGUGACCACGGAGCAGAAUUUAACCUCCAUGUUGAAAGAAUUUAAGCUAAGAGUCACUCUUCUAAGCAUCAACAUAUUGACAUCAAUUGACCCAAUACAUUUGAACAACGAACCAAGUUACCCUAGGGAUAACAGCGCA
rnacentral:rRNA from 1 species